AGGCUUACACAUGCAAGUCGAGCGGAGAGAGGUGCUUGCACCUUAUCUUAGCGGCGGACGGGUGAGUAAUGCUUAGGAAUCUGCCUAUUAGUGGGGGACAACAUUCCGAAAGGAAUGCUAAUACCGCAUACGUCCUACGGGAGAAAGCAGGGGAUCUUCGGACCUUGCGCUAAUAGAUGAGCCUAAGUCGGAUUAGCUAGUUGGUGGGGUAAAGGCCUACCAAGGCGACGAUCUGUAGCGGGUCUGAGAGGAUGAUCCGCCACACUGGGACUGAGACACGGCCCAGACUCCUACGGGAGGCAGCAGUGGGGAAUAUUGGACAAUGGGGGGAACCCUGAUCCAGCCAUGCCGCGUGUGUGAAGAAGGCCUUAUGGUUGUAAAGCACUUUAAGCGAGGAGGAGGCUACUGAGACUAAUACUCUUGGAUAGUGGACGUUACUCGCAGAAUAAGCACCGGCUAACUCUGUGCCAGCAGCCGCGGUAAUACAGAGGGUGCGAGCGUUAAUCGGAUUUACUGGGCGUAAAGCGUGCGUAGGCGGCUUUUUAAGUCGGAUGUGAAAUCCCCGAGCUUAACUUGGGAAUUGCAUUCGAUACCGGGAAGCUAGAGUAUGGGAGAGGAUGGUAGAAUUCCAGGUGUAGCGGUGAAAUGCGUAGAGAUCUGGAGGAAUACCGAUGGCGAAGGCAG
rnacentral:rRNA from 1 species